rnacentral:rRNA from 1 species
CCUACGGGAGGCAGCAGUAGGGAAUUUUCGUCAAUGGGCGCAAGCCUGAACGAGCGAUGCCGCGUGAGUGAAGAAGGCCUUCGGGUCGUAAAGCUCUGUUGCGGGGGAAAAAAGGCAGCAUCAGGAAAUGGGUGCUGACUGAUGGUGCCCCGCCAGAAAGUCACGGCUAACUACGUGCCAGCAGCCGCGGUAAUACGUAGGUGGCGAGCGUUAUCCGGAAUGGUUGGGCGUAAAGGGUGCGCAGGCGGUCCUGCAAGUCUGGAGUGAAACGCAUGAGCUCAACUCAUGCAUGGCUUUGGAAACUGGAUGACUGGAGAGCAGGAGAGGGCGGUGGAACUCCAUGUGUAGCGGUAAAAUGCGUAGAUAUAUGGAAGAACACCAGUGGCGAAGGCGGCCGCCUGGCCUGUUGCUGACGCUGAGGCACGAAAGCGUGGGGAGCAAAUAGGAUUAGAUACCCGUGUAGUC